UGUCCAAGACACGAGUCAGUUCGCAGCUGACUUCGUGACGGGUUAGUAAUACGCGAGCUCUUGUCAAUUUUCCAGUGCGAUGUUUUCGUAAUUCUUAAGGAACUCUUUCAUAUCUUGACUACUUCUACAUCGAUUGAUAUUCUCUGGUUAGUGUCUAAAAGAAUUGUGUUUUGUAUCGUGUAGGUGUCACCAAAGCUGGAAGUUUUUACUCUUGCAUUUAGAAAGUGGAUUGGGUGAUUACAGUUUCGCAAGUCUUCAGCAUUCGAUAAUUUUCCAGUUCU